GCACUAAUCGUCUAGUGGUUAGGAUGGCUCCCUUCCAAUCACCAUCCUUUCGAGGAUGCAGGAAGAGCGAUUAGGAGUCGACCGGCGUUCGAAUCGCCGUUAGUGCA